UGAGGAAUAUUGGUCAAUGGGCGGGAGCCUGAACCAGCCAAGCCGCGUGAGGGAAGAAGGUACAGCGUAUCGUAAACCUCUUUUGUCAGGGAACAAAGGCGGGGGACUAGUCCCCGGAUGAGGGUACCUGAAGAAAAAGCAUCGGCUAACUCCGUGCC
rnacentral:rRNA from 1 species